rnacentral:rRNA from 1 species
GACGAACGCUGGCGGCGUGCCUAAUACAUGCAAGUUGAGCGAUGAAGAUUGGUGCUUGCACCAAUUUGAAGAGCAGCGAACGGGUGAGUAACGCGUGGGGAAUCUGCCUUUGAGCGGGGGACAACAUUUGGAAACGAAUGCUAAUACCGCAUAACAACUUUAAACAUAAGUUUUAAGUUUGAAAGAUGCAAUUGCAUCACUCAAAGAUGAUCCCGCGUUGUAUUAGCUAGUUGGUGAGGUAAAGGCUCACCAAGGCGAUGAUACAUAGCCGACCUGAGAGGGUGAUCGGCCACAUUGGGACUGAGACACGGCCCAAACUCCUACGGGAGGCAGCAGUAGGGAAUCUUCGGCAAUGGACGAAAGUCUGACCGAGCAACGCCGCGUGAGUGAAGAAGGUUGUCGGAUCGUAAAACUCUGUCGGUAGAGAAGAACGUUGGUGAGAGUGGAAAGCUCAUCAAGUGACGGUAACUACCCAGAAAGGGACGGCUAACUACGUG